UCUCUCUCACAUAUUAGUGUCGCCGACAUCAACGAAAAGCAGAGGAGACCGUCGAAGCAGCAAGUCGCCGGAACUGCACACUUUCUGCUGACCUUCCCGGAGAAUCCCAACGCCGAUUCACCCUGCCGACAUCGAUCGAUUUAGAUCCGAAUCGAUCAACGACGUAUCGAUCGUUGCCAAAUCACUGAACGGAACGGUUAUCCGCCGGCGGUUUUCUGGAUGACUGAACGGAACGGUUAUCCACCGGCGGUCCAGAAUAUCCGGAAUCGGUCACUGACGUAAAGAGACGUCGUAAACGAGGAAAGUGGAGAUGGAUGAUUCACGUAUGAGGUCGAUAAGGAUGAUUCACGUAUGUUUGUUUUGCUUGGUCCAUAAGGAUGAUUCAACAUACAACGCGGCGAAUAGUUGUAAAAGACUAUGUCUUUUUUAUUUUUCCGAUUAUGUUGCGUUUAUUGUUUUCACGAAACUGGAACUUGUAAUUGUAUGUUUUU